GUGCUUGCUCAGGCAGCACAUAUGACAAAAUUGGAACGAUACAGAGAAGAUUAGCGCCCGAUGGAUGCCACGGCAAAUUCGGUGAAGCGUUACCACAUUUU